rnacentral:rRNA from 1 species
GGAGCUGUCCUUAGUACGAGAGGACCGGGAUGGACGCACCGCUGGUGUACCAGUUGUUCUGCCAAGGGCAUCGCUGGGUAGCUAUGUGCGGACGGGAUAAGUGCUGAAAGCAUCUAAGCAUGAAGCCCCCCUCAAGAUGAGAUUUCCCAUUCCGCAAGGAAGUAAGAUCCCUGAAAGAUGAUCAGGUUGAUAGGUCUGAGGUGGAAGUGUGGCGACACAUGGAGCUGACAGAUACUAAUCGAUCGAGGACUUAACCACA